UACACAUCUUUUAUAUGAUGAAUACCACACGAACCAAAUACUUUUAGGAAGAGCCGGAAGAGGUAUGACAACCGUUGCCGUGUGGAACGGGUUAAUUUAUUAUUUAUGUCGUCGAUGCUUAUAACGGUUCUGCUGAGGAAAGCUUGUGU
rnacentral:snoRNA from 1 species